rnacentral:rRNA from 1 species
AUUGAACGCUGGCGGCAGGCCUAACACAUGCAAGUCGAGCGGAUGAAGGGAGCUUGCUCCUGGAUUCAGCGGCGGACGGGUGAGUAAUGCCUAGGAAUCUGCCUGGUAGUGGGGGAUAACGUCCGGAAACGGGCGCUAAUACCGCAUACGUCCUGAGGGAGAAAGUGGGGGAUCUUCGGACCUCACGCUAUCAGAUGAGCCUAGGUCGGAUUAGCUAGUUGGUGGGGUAAAGGCCUACCAAGGCGACGAUCCGUAACUGGUCUGAGAGGAUGAUCAGUCACACUGGAACUGAGACACGGUCCAGUCUCCUACGGGAGGCAGCAGUGGGGAAUAUUGGACAAAGGGCGAAAGCCUGAUCCAGCCAUGCCGCGUGUGUGAAGAAGGUCUUCGGAUUGUAAAGCACUUUAAGUUGGGAGGAAGGGCAGUAAGUUAAUACCUUGCUGUUUUGACGUUACCAACAGAAUAAGCACCGGCUAACUUCGUG